rnacentral:tRNA from 1 species
GAAUAUAGCUCAAUUGAUAAAGUGCUUGCUUUGUAUGCAUAAGGCCCUGGGUUCAAUCCCCAGUACA